ACAGAGGUGGCAAGCGUUGUUCGGAAUUACUGGGCGUAAAGGGCGCGUAGGCGGUCUUGUAAGUCUCGUGUGAAAUCCCUCGGCUUAACUGAGGAACUGCACGGGAUACUGCAUGACUUGAGGUCGGGAGAGGGAAGCGGAAUUCCGGGUGUAGCGGUGAAAUGCGUAGAUAUCGGAAGGAACAUCAGUGGCGAAGGCGGCCUUCUGGACCGACACUGACGCUGAGGCGCGAAAGCCAGGGGAGCAAACGGGA
rnacentral:rRNA from 1 species